rnacentral:rRNA from 1 species
GUAGGGUGCAAGCGUUAUCCGGAAUCAUUGGGCGUAAAGAGCUCGUAGGCGGUUCAGCAAGUCGGCUGUGAAAUCCCGGGGCUUAACCUCGGGACUGCAGUCGAUACUGCUGUGACUAGAGUCCGGUAGAGGAGAAUGGAAUUCCCGGUGUAGCGGUGAAAUGCGCAGAUAUCGGGAGGAACACCAGUAGCGAAGGCGGUUCUCUGGGCCGGUACUGACGCUGAGGAGCGAAAGCGUGGGUAGCAAACAGGAUUAGAUACCCUGGUAGUCCACGCCGUAAACGUUGGACACUAGGUGUGGCGUUCCGACCAACGGGUGCCCGUGCCGAAGCUAACGCAUUAAGUGUCCCGCCUGGGGAGUACGGCCGCAAGGCUA